rnacentral:tRNA from 1 species
GCUGGGGUGGCGGAAUUGGCAUACGCGCACGUUUGAGGGGCGUGUCUCGCAAGGGAUGCGGGUUCAAGUCCCGCCCCCAGCA